UACGUAGGGGGCUAGCGUUGUCCGGAUUUAUUGGGCGUAAAGAGCGUGUAGGCGGCCUGGUAGGUCUGCUGUGAAAACUCGAGGCUCAACCUCGAGAUGUCGGCGGAAACCAUCUGGCUAGAGUCCGGAAGAGGAGAGUGGAAUUCCUGGUGUAGCGGUGAAAUGCGCAGAUAUCAGGAAGAACACCUAUGGCGAAGGCAGCUCGCUGGGACGGUACUGACGCUGAGACGCGAAAGCGUGGGGAGCGAACAGG
rnacentral:rRNA from 1 species